UGGAGGGCAAGUCUGGUGCCUUCCGCCGCGGUAAUUCCAGCUCCAAUAGCGUAUAUUAAAGUUGUUGCGGUUAAAACGUUCGUAGUUGAACUUGUGCUUCAUACGGGUAGUACAACUUACAAUUGUGGUUAGUACUAUACCUUUAUGUAUGUAAGCGUAUUACCAGUGGAGUUCUUAUAUAUAAUUAAGUACUUGUAUUUUUUUAUAUAUUCCUCCUAUUUAAAAACCUGCAUUAGUGCUCUUCAUCGAGUGUUAUUGUGGGCCGGUACAAUUACUUUGAACAAAUUAGAGUGCUUAAAGCAGGCUUCAAAUGCCUGAAUAUUCUGUGCAUGGGAUAAUGAAAUAAGACCUCUGUUCUGCUUUCAUUGGUUUUCAGAUCAAGAGGUAAUGAUUAAUAGAAGCAGUUUGGGGGCAUUAGUAUUACGACGCGAGAAAGUUAGAGGUUCGAAGGCGAUCAGAUACCGCCCUAGUUCUAACCAUAAACGAUGCCAGCUAGCAAUUGGGUGUAGCUACUUUUAUGGCUCUCUCAGUCGCUUCCCGGGAAACCAAAGCUUUUGGGCUCCGGGGGAAGUAUGGUUGCAAAGCUGAAACUUAAAGGAAUUGACGGAAGGGCACCACCAGGAGUGGAGCCUGCGGCUUAAUUUGACUCAACACGGGAAAACUUACCAGGUCCGAACAUAAGUGUGUAAGACAGAUUGAUAGCUCUUUCUCGAAUCUAUGGGUGGUGGUGCAUGGCCGUUCUU
rnacentral:ncRNA from 1 species